rnacentral:rRNA from 1 species
UACGUGGGGUGCAAGCGUUGUUCGGAAUUACUGGGCGUAAAGCGCGUGUAGGCGGCUCGCUAAGUCUGAUGUGAAAGCCCUGGGCUCAACCCAGGAACUGCAUCGGAAACUGGCGGGCUUGAGUCCGGGAGAGGGUCGCGGAAUUCCUGGUGUAGAGGUGAAAUUCGUAGAUAUCAGGAGGAACACCGGUGGCGAAGGCGGCGACCUGGACCGGUACUGACGCUGAGACGCGAAAGCGUGGGGAGCAAACAGG